GCGAAAUAUUUUAAAAAAAAAUUAUCUUACUUUAUUUCAAAUCUAAGGUCUAUUAGAUCUAAUUUUUAUUAUCUGAUAUUUAAUCUAAAAUUAAAUCAAAAACUUGAGCAUUAGAGGAAUACAUCUAGGAUAACUAGAUUACCCUGUAGAUGAUCGCAGCAAUGCUCGAGGUUCUAAAAUAGCCACGCAGUCACUUGACCUCUACCGG
rnacentral:lncRNA from 1 species